CACCCAAGUAUCUCGACUCGCGCGUCGCGCCGUUUUACGCGCGAUUUUAAAAACGCGCGUAGGCAUCUGGACGCGAUAUAUGUAGCUUUAGUAUCUCGGGAACGCGCGUAGAACUUUAUAAGAGGAAUUUUUUUUAAGUUUAAGUCAAGUGAGUUUCAUAUUAUAAGCUCUUAGACUAAAAAGAUCAAGGACCGCUACCGCCUCGAUUCGCCGGGUAUAGGUACUAUAAAAACAUAAUAUCACAUCGCAAUAAUAGUAAAAAGUAGAUUUGUCAUGUGCUGUGAUGAAAGUGUUGUUCAUGUUGUAUGAGUGUUAUGAUCUAUGUGUGAUAUUCAGUAAUCAUUAAUAUCUACUGAUACUUUUGUAUUACAUGAGUAGUUACUUAAAUACACGUUUUAUGUUAUU